rnacentral:rRNA from 1 species
AGAGUUUGAUCCUGGCUCAGGAUGAACGCUGGCGGCGUGCUUAACACAUGCAAGUCGAACGAUCCUUCGGGAUAGUGGCGGACGGGUGAGUAACGCGUGGGAAUCUGCCCUCAGGAGGGGGAUAACGGCUGGAAACGGCCGCUAAUACCCCAUAUGCCGAGAGGUGAAAUGAAUUUCGCCUGAGGAUGAGCCCGCGUCUGAUUAGCUAGUUGGUGGGGUAAUGGCCUACCAAGGCAACGAUCAGUAGCUGGUCUGAGAGGAUGAUCAGCCACACUGGGACUGAGACACGGCCCAGACUCCUACGGGAGGCAGCAGUGGGGAAUUUUCCGCAAUGGGCGAAAGCCUGACGGAGCAACGCCGCGUGAGGGAUGAAGGCCUCUGGGCUGUAAACCUCUUUUCUCAAGGAAGAAGACCUGACGGUACUUGAGGAAUAAGCCACGGCUAAUUCCGUGCCAGCAGCCGCGGUAAUACGGGAGUGGCAAGCGUUAUCCGGAAUUAUUGGGCGUAAAGCGUCCGCAGGCGGCCUUGUAAGUCUGUUGUUAAAGCGUGGAGCUCAACUCCAUUUAAGCAAUGGAAACUACAAGGCUGGAGUGUGGUAGGGGCAGAGGGAAUUCCCGGUGUAUCGGUGAAAUGCGUAGAUAUCGGGAAGAACACCAGUGGCGAAGGCGCUCUGCUGGGCCAUAACUGACGCUCAUGGACGAAAGCCAGGGGAGCGAAAGGGAUUAGAUACCCCUGUAGUCCUGGCCGUAAACGAUGAACACUAGGUGUCGGGGGAAUCGACCCCCUCGGUGUCGUAGCCAACGCGUUAAGUGUUCCGCCUGGGGAGUACGCACGCAAGUGUGAAACUCAAAGGAAUUGACGGGGGCCCGCACAAGCGGUGGAGUAUGUGGUUUAAUUCGAUGCAACGCGAAGAACCUUACCAGGGUUUGACAUCCUGCGAACCCCUGAGAAAUCGGGGGGUGCCUUCGGGAGCGCAGAGACAGGUGGUGCAUGGCUGUCGUCAGCUCGUGUCGUGAGAUGUUGGGUUAAGUCCCGCAACGAGCGCAACCCACGUCUUUAGUUGCCAGCAUUCAGUUGGGCACUCUAGAGAGACCGCCGGUGAUAAACCGGAGGAAGGUGUGGAUGAUGUCAAGUCAUCAUGCCCCUUACAUCCUGGGCUACACACGUACUACAAUGCUACGGACAAAGGGCAGCAAGCUCGCGAGAGUUAGCAAAUCCCAUAAACCGUGGCUCAGUUCAGAUCGUAGGCUGCAACUCGCCUACGUGAAGGAGGAAUCGCUAGUAAUCGCAGGUCAGCAUACUGCGGUGAAUACGUUCCCGGGCCUUGUACACACCGCCCGUCACACCAUGGAAGUUGGCCAUGCCCGAAGUCGUUACUCCAACCCUUGUGGAGGAGGACGCCGAAGGUGGGGCUGAUGACUG